AAUGGUCAUUUUGUCACACUAUACACCCUGUGAUCAUUUUUUAUUUUACAAGGGGGUGAAGUGUAGAUUUUUAAAUGACAAGGGGGGAAAGUAAAAAGGCGGAUUUUGACAGAAGGAUUUUUCGUAAUUUAGCCAAAUUUUUAUAUUUUUUACAAAUUCUUAUCGUUAAGGCCUGUUAGAAAAUUUUAGUUAACAAAAAAUAAAAUAGUUAAUUCUAGUUAGUCAACAAGAUAAAUUAAUACUUUUAUCACUCUUAUAUUAUAUCUUUUUUCUCAGUCAAAAUUCUAACAAUAAAAAUUCUUUUUUUUCUUUCUCUUUUUCUUCCUCUUCCUUUCUCUUUUUUGUGCUACUUUCGAACCCGUAACCAAAAUUUCUCCAUCCCCAUUCAUCCACAACGUGUGUUGUUUCGUCUAUAUCGAACGCGUGUUGCAUGUUUCUCAAUUUAAUUUUCUCUAUAAUUUUUUUUCUUAUUUUGCUCAAAAGAAAAAAUUUAGAAAAAAAAAAAGAGUGAGAGAAAAGAUUACAACAAUAGUGGAUUAGGUUGUGUUUUAAAGAGGAAGAAGAUGACUAUUGAAAUUUUUUGGGAAAAUAUUUUUGCACGAUUAUAGCAGCUGAGGUUUUUAGAUGGACAUAUUUAUGAUGCCAAAAUUGAUAUUUCACUUAUCUGUUGCUAAAAAAUAAAUAGUUCUCUAACGGUAAUAAACCAGAGGGACAAACAUAAAUAUCACUGAACUUUUGCAGGAAUAGAUUGUGACACCACUUUAUCUAUAUUUAAAUUAAUUANGCUCAAAGGAAAAAAUUUAGAAAAAAAAAAAGAGUGAGAGAAAAGAUUACAACAAUUGUGGAUUAGGUUGUGUUUUAAAGAGGAAGAAGAUGACUAUUGAAAUUUUUUGGGAAAAUAUUUUUGCACGAUUAUAACAGUUGAAGUUUUUAGAUGGACAUAUUUGUGAUGCCAAAAUUGAUAUUUCACUUAUUUGUUCCUAAAAAAUAAAUAGUUCUGUAAUAAACCAGAAAAAUAAAUAUAAAUAUCACUGAACUUUAGUAGAGAUAAGAGUUGAAAACUAAAUUUUAUAGGGAUAUAUUUGCUAUUCUCGAUGUUUACAAAGAGCAGUAUGUAAUUAAACCAGAAAUAAAAUAAGAAAAAAAAAGUUGGAUGGUGAGGAGCAGGAGGCAGGUUUUGUGUGAUUGUGACACCACUUUAUCUAUAUUUAAAUUAAUUAAAUAUUUUAAUUUGAAAGAAAAUAUAAUAAAAAUAUUUUUUAAAAAUUUUAUAUUAGAAAUACCACUUUUUU
rnacentral:lncRNA from 1 species